rnacentral:rRNA from 1 species
AACGAACGCUGGCGGCAGGCCUAACACAUGCAAGUCGAGCGAGGACUUCGGUCCUAGCGGCGGACGGGUGAGUAACGCGUGGGAACGUGCCCUUUGCUUCGGAAUAGCCCUGGGAAACUGGGAGUAAUACCGGAUGAGCCCUUUGGGGGAAAGAUUUAUCGGCGAAGGAUCGGCCCGCGUUGGAUUAGGUAGUUGGUGGGGUAAUGGCCUACCAAGCCGACGAUCCAUAGCUGGUUUGAGAGGAUGAUCAGCCACACUGGGACUGAGACACGGCCCAGACUCCUACGGGAGGGAGCAGUGGGGAAUCUUAGACAAUGGGGGAAAUCCUGAUCUAGCCAUGCCGCGUGAGCGAUGAAGGCCUUAGGGUUGUAAAGCUCUUUCAGCUGGGAAGAUAAUGACGGUACCAGCAGAAGAAGCCCCGGCUAACUCCGUG